rnacentral:rRNA from 1 species
ACUCCUCAUCGCAUGGUGGGGGGUGGAAAGCUUUUUGUGGUUUUGGAUGGACUCGCGGCCUAUCAGCUUGUUGGUGAGGUAAUGGCUCACCAAGGGCGACGACGGGUAGCCGGCCUGAGAGGGUGACCGGCCACACUGGGACUGAGACACGGCCCAGACUCCUACGGGAGGCAGCAGUGGGGAAUAUUGCACAAUGGGCGAAAGCCUGAUGCAGCGACGCCGCGUGAGGGAUGACGGCCUUCGGGUUGUAAACCUCUUUCAGUAGGGAAGAAGCGAAAGUGACGGUACCUGCAGAAGAAGCGCCGGCUAACUACGUGCCAGCAGCCGCGGUAAUACGUAGGGCGCAAGCGUUAUCCGGAAUUAUUGGGCGUAAAGAGCUCGUAGGCCGUUUGUCCGUC